rnacentral:pre_miRNA from 1 species
AAAGUACUCCCUCUGUCCCAAAAUUCUUGUCUUAGAUUUUUCUAGAUACGGAUGUAUCAAGUCACAUUUUAGUAUUAGAUACAUCAGUAUCUAGACAAAUCUAAGACAAGAAAUUUGGGACAGAGGGAGUAGCUG